rnacentral:rRNA from 1 species
UACGAAGGGGACUAGCGUUGUUCGGAAUCACUGGGCGUAAAGCGCACGUAGGCGGAUUCGUAAGUCAGGGGUGAAAUCCCGGGGCUCAACCUCGGAACUGCCUUUGAUACUGGGGAUCUCGAGUCCGGGAGAGGUGAGUGGAACUGGCGAGUGUAGAGGUGAAAUUCGUAGAUAUUCGCAAGAACACCAGUGGCGAAGGCGGCUCACUGGCCCGGAACUGACGCUGAGGUGCGAAAGCGUGGGGAGCAAACAGGG